ACAGACAUAAUGGGAAAAAAACACAGAAGAGAAGAAUAUCCGGAUCAUUCCUCAUCUGCCUGCCUGCCCGCUAACCUUUAUGCAACUCCAGACUGCCCACGCCAUCCACCCUCACUCCUCUACCUCCUGCUGUCGCCAGCCAUUCAACGUCUCCAUUCCAUCACAUCCCUGCCUACAGUCCUACAAUAAACCUUCUUAACCACACCUCCGUGUCCUACAUGUGGGUCCAACCUGUAAUACUGUAACGGAAUAAUCUAGCCAAAAUUGACCCAGCAGACGAAUCAUUUUCUGUGGUUGAACUCAAUGAGGUGACUUCAGACCAUGGAGUGCCUUCUAGGCAACUGCAAAAAUGCCACCAGUAUGGAGCAGAAAGCGGCCUUGGUUGGAAAAAUGUAUUUGUAGAGAGUUUAUCAACACCCAAGCCUCACCCCAAGGUUCCCAGUUUUCAGCCCAAGCGUGAUAGCUUUCGGUUAGCUAGUCUCCGGCCAGCACCCUAGUCUGUUAAGAAGCCACAGAAGAAGGCGUGGUCACCAUAGCUCCUUACAACAUUGGCUGUCACAGCUGCUCAGCACCACAGACUCAAUACCAGAUUACCUCAGAGACUCAGUUUCCCAGCACCUCGACCUCUUCGAUGCCUAGCACUAAAGAGUUGCCAACGGAUCCUGGUCUCCUCUUGAUGACCCGACCGACACCUGCUUCUGGUUCCAAAGCCGGUGUCCUUCCCAACACCAGUUCCUGUGCUGCAGCACUCUGCUGAGCCUGAGCCUUCCAAAGAGGUCCCACCUAAUUUGCCAGCAUCCAGGUCACCCUCCAGAAUAGCUCUGUAAUUGUGACCUAUCUUCAAAGCAUACAGUAGCUCACCUGAUUUUACUGCUGAUAGAACCAUUCUGGGAGCAAUACUGACUGACCAAGACUCUCUACCCAAGAGAAAGUAGCACACACAUCCUUUGCUAUGAACAUCCCACAAGAAACAAGGAAGUUCACCCACAUGCACAGAUAGACCCAAGGUGGUGCUCAAGCACCUGCACUUUUGGCCUUUUAACUAGAUAAGUCCCCUUUUUGCAUGACAUUUACGUUUAUAGCCAACUGCCAACAGCCUCCACUGAUAACAGCAAAUCGAGCACCCGGCCUGCAGAGCAGCAUGAUCCACUCAUAUACUCAUAUAAAUUUCCUUCUAGGGGAAAUGCAGUGUAAACUUGCCAAAUUAUCAUGCUGUGUAAUUUCACAUUCAGUUUCUUAAGCUAUUGCCCAACUAGAACAAUGGUAGUGCACCCCUCCUUUGUUUAAAAAACAUAUCAAAUUCUUCUUUCUACAGAGCCUCCUCAUAGCUUGGCUGGCUAAUGCAUUUCAUAAAACCUUAAUGCCCUGGUUGGAGUCCAGCUGGGAAGGUCUUUCCACAAGGAGAAAAAAAUCAGUGACCCAAACAGAAAAAAACAUCUUUAUUUAAAAAACAUUAGUUGUUAAUGAUGUGGCAUCUACCUGCAUUAUUUGUACAUGUUACAGCAUGAGUGUGGAUUGUGUUAGAUUUAGAUGCCAGAAUAUGUCUGUGUGACCUCCUCGUCGUUAGCCGCUGACUGUAGUUGGUUGAGAAGUAAAAGCCCAUUCCCUGCAGGGUCAGAGGUGCACAAUAUCCAGUGGUUGUUUUCCUGUUCAACUUUGUGGCAGUUCAAGAAGGUGUGAGCAGUCACCUCGUAUUCUUUGCCAUAUGUGGUCCUGCAGGGACAAAACUGUUACCUAAAGAAUGACAGCAGGCAUGCAGGCAUUGUAACAUGACUUUUAGCUGCUAUAUUGGAGGUCCUCAUCUUUUGACAACAAGUGGCUAUGAAGAGCUGACUACAACUAAAUGCAAAACUCUACCUUGUCAUUAGAAGUGAAUCUACAUGGUGUAUAUCUGCAACAUUUUGAUAGGAAACUGGUGAUUUU